UACGUAGGUGGCAAGCGUUGUCCGGAUUUAUUGGGUUUAAAGGGUGCGUAGGCGGUCCUAUAAGUCAGUUGUGAAAUACGGCAGCUUAACUGUCGAGGUGCAAUUGAUACUGCAGGACUUGAGUACAGACGAGGUAGGCGGAAUUGACGGUGUAGCGGUGAAAUGCUUAGAUAUCGUCAAGAACACCGAUAGCGAAGACAGCUUACUAGACUGUAACUGACGCUGAUGCACGAAAGUGUGGGGAUCAAACAGG
rnacentral:rRNA from 1 species